AUUGAACGCUGGCGGCAUGCUUUACACAUGCAAGUCGAACGGUAACAGGUUAAGCUGACGAGUGGCGAACGGGUGAGUAAUGCAUCGGAACGUGCCCGAUCGUGGGGGAUAACGCAGCGAAAGCUGCGCUAAUACCGCAUACGAUCUGAGGAUGAAAGCGGGGGACCGUAAGGCCUCGCGCGAUCGGAGCGGCCGAUGGCAGAUUAGGUAGUUGGUGGGGUAAAGGCCCACCAAGCCGACGAUCUGUAGCUGGUCUGAGAGGACGACCAGCCACACUGGGACUGAGACACGGCCCAGACUCCUACGGGAGGCAGCAGUGGGGAAUUUUGGACAAUGGGCGAAAGCCUGAUCCAGCAAUGCCGCGUGCAGGAAGAAGGCCUUCGGGUUGUAAACUGCUUUUGUACGGAGCGAAAAGGUCCUUUCUAAUACAGGGGGCUCAUGACGGUACCGUAAGAAUAAGCACCGGCUAACUACGUGCCAGCCGCCGCGGUAA
rnacentral:rRNA from 1 species